UGGCCGGGCUGGGCUGGGCAGGAGGGUGUCCCGCCAGCCUGCUGGGAAUUGUUUUGCUCUCCCAACAGGCGAUGCCAGCUCGGCCGCAGACUCGGGAGCAGGGAGCAGCAGGGCCUUAUAAGGAAGCAAAGCACAGCUCAGCCAUUCUGAGGGGCAGCGGGACCUGCCAGGGCCGUGCCUCAGCGCGGGGACCACGGAAUCACCGAGCCCAGGCGACGGAACCCGAGCCGGGCAGCGCCGGGGGUGGCGGGAAGGCAGCCCCGUAAACAGGCUCCUGCAAAAGGGGCACCGGGGAAAACACACGUGUGCCUUGAGAAUGAGAAGAAAGGCGAGAAAGAGAAGGAAAGAAAAAAACACGACUAGAAAGGCCGGCCACUUUUCGCACGGAGCCUUAUUUGGUAUUUUCAUGAAAAGUUAUAUCUUCACACUGUAAAAAACGCCACUUAUUACUCAUGCUUUACUAGCAGGGACCCGCUGGCAUCAAAGCAAGGACUGGAGCCCAGGUCAAAGCCUGGAGAGAUUUGUGACCUAUCACAGAGCUCUGCUGAGCCUCUCAAAAAGCUCCAGGAUGUCUAAACAAGGAGAAACCAACUCCAGGAUGCAACAAGCUCCAGGAUGAAACAAACAAGAAGAGAGGAAAAAGAGGAGGACAUGGGAGAGAAGCAUGCUCAGAGUCCAUCCCGUAGGAUCACCAGGAUGUCAUUUCCCACAGGUCUUCCACAGACAUCCUUCUCUGCAUCAGCCAUAACCAUGAUGUUUGAAGAACAAAAUCCCAGGGAUUUUUGCUUGCAAGAGAUUCCUCCUCCCUCCCCAUAGCUUGGGGAAAGGGAAUGAAACUGCAGGCUCUGCGAGGAGCAGAGCCUGAGCCCUCCCCACCAAUUCCCAGCUGGGAGACUUGGCUAUGGCUCCCCCAGCUUCUCCCCAGGGCUUCUCCCCCAGCUGGCCUCUCCUCUGGCCCACUGGCUGGGAAUUUGCAAGCACUUCGGUGCCAAGGAGCUGCCGAUGAUGUUAUCCCUCCUCCCAGACCAGCGUGGGGAGCACGGCUGCUCUCUGGGGGUGCAGAACUCCAGGGGGCUGAGAGACCAUCCCCACUUUGAACAGGGACCCCCAGGCUCGGGGAGAGCAUCGCCCAAGGCUUGUCUUGGAGCCUUGUGCAGGGAUCAGGCUGCUCUGCUGCUGGAAUCUCCAAAGGGAAGAGCAGGGAGCCAGAGCUGAGCUAUGGCUGCCCAUCCCACCUCUCCACACUUCUCCACGUGCAGCCCAUCAUCUGUUUGUCCUAGGAGACACCAAGUCCCUUGGGGUGAGCCAGCAGC